rnacentral:rRNA from 1 species
GAUGAACGCUGACAGAAUGCUUAACACAUGCAAGUCAACUGUGGCGGACGGGUGAGUAACGCGUAAAGAACUUGCCUCACAGUUAGGGCCAACAUUUGGAAACGACUGCUAAUACCUGAUACUGUGAGCUAGUUUUGCGUCCUAUUAGCUAGUUGGAGAGGUAACGGCUCACCAAGGCGAAGAUGGGUAGCCGGCCGGAGAGGGUGAUCGGCCACAAGGGGACUGAGAAACGGCCCUUACGCCGACGAGAGGCAGCAGUAGGGAAUAUUGGACAAUGGACCAAAGUCUGAUCCAGCAAUUGUGUGUGUACGAUGAAGUUUUCGGAAUGUAAAGUGCUUUCAGUUGGGAAGCGGUACCAGCAGAAGAAGUGACGGCUAAAUACGUGCCAGCAGCCGCGGUAAUAC